CCACCCGCACGACCCUGCCUCCCAAUCCCAUCUCCUCCGCGCGCUGCCACCUCCUGCCCCGCCCCGCCUCACCGUGCGCCGCUGAGCCGCCGUUCGUCGCCAGCACCCGCGGAUCCGGCCGCCCCUCACCUUCCCAUUUGGCUGCACCUCCCAGCGUCGCCGCCCCUGCGAAGCUCCACCGUUGGAGGAUCUCCUCCGCCUGGAUCCACAUCCCCAUGGCCGGAACGGGACUUCCUCAAGCCCCCCCCCCCCCCCCGGAUGCACGCUGUUGCUGGUGGAGUUGCGCUGGUGGAGUUGGAGCACGCCGGCGCUCUGGCCGCCCUCUUCCUCCCUGUUCCCUCCCAUCCCUCCUACUACAGCCAGGGCUGUAGCCGCCCUCUUCUCUCCUCGUACCCCUCUUCCUCCCUGUUCCUUCUCACCCCUUCUCCCGCAGGCUCCAGCUGUGGUGGUGGGGGUGAGCAGCUGCCCUCCGGUGGCCUGGGGAGUGAGGAGGGCGCCAUUCUAAAGCACGAGAGCUCGGCGCAUGGCGACAGUAUAGAUCGGCUACAGCAGCGGCAACGGCCCAAUGGCGAAAGGGGAUGGCUGCAUGAUGAUCUUGUUCUGAUCAAUUCUGAAAUAGGAAUGGAGGACUACUAUGGUGGUCGCUGUUGAGGAUGCUGGAUUACUUGACAGUAGGCUGGUGAGCAGGACGACGACCAUAGUUCAGGGAGCGAUUGAUUUCAAGAGAGAUCAUUGGGGACGAGUUCAUAACCAUGUUACUGUCAAGUUUUAGCAAUAUGGUCCAGAGAGCGGUUUCAGAAGAGGUAGAGAAAGAGUUGUUCAGACAAUUCAGUGCAGAAGCAACACCUCCAAGGUGAGAAAUAUGUUUCUGUUUAGCCUUCUUUGCUAGCUGUGUCCCUCUGUUUUUUUUACUGAACUGUGCUCCUCUGUUUGGAUGAUUAUUGGAGAGAAAGAGAGAUGAUAUGGAGACCACGAGUAUGUGUGUAUGGAUCGGGGAGUGGUAGAUUUUGGGCCAAAUACAUUAUAACCGGCAACCAACUUCAUAAACAUAUUCAUUACCCUCUCCUUUGAAAUGAAUUUUUGCUUGGAACAUUUCUUAUUUCUUUAUCUGUUAGUGCUUGAUUCUAUCUCUGCUCUGUCUGAGGCCACCGGCGCCGAUGUGACCGAGGUGGAGGCGACCGGCAAGAGGGAGGCUAGCGCGACCAAUUUCCUCGAGCUGUUCAACUUAUUAGUCCUUGCAAUUCCAAAUUCACAUAGGUAUGUAGGCUGUAACGGCACCGCUGUAGCCAUCGCUGCCUUCUCCAAUCCUUGGUAGCAGAUUAAUGCAUAGUAGGUGAGUGCUUCAGGCUGUAGAUUUGGCUCGCUUCCUUAGUACCUCAUGUCUCAUGUGGUUAAAGCUAUGCGAGUAAUUAUGAAGGCUUGAUCAUCAGGAAACAUCCAUGUCAAUUAUGUGUUUGCCGAAUUUCCUUAAGCAUAUGGGAUUCAGUUGUUUGAUGAA